rnacentral:rRNA from 1 species
CUGGCUCAGGACGAACGCUGGCGGCGUGCUUAACACAUGCAAGUCGAACGCUGAAGCCUGCAGCUUGCUGUGGGUGGAUGAGUGGCGAACGGGUGAGUAACACGUGAGUAACCUGCCCCUGACUCUGGGAUAAGCCCGGGAAACUGGGUCUAAUACCGGAUAUGACCAUUCUCCGCAUGGAGUGGUGGUGGAAAGUUUUUCGGUUGGGGAUGGGCUCGCGGCCUAUCAGCUUGUUGGUGGGGUGAUGGCCUACCAAGGCGACGACGGGUAGCCGGCCUGAGAGGGCGACCGGCCACACUGGGACUGAGACACGGCCCAGACUCCUACGGGAGGCAGCAGUGGGGAAUAUUGCACAAUGGGGGAAACCCUGAUGCAGCGACGCCGCGUGGGGGAUGACGGCCUUCGGGUUGUAAACCUCUUUCAGUAGGGAAGAAGCCUUCGGGUGACGGUACCUGCAGAA